rfam:Dipodomys ordii contig_10202, whole genome shotgun sequence.
GGGAAGGUGGCUCAGUGGUAGAGCGCUUGCCUUGCAUGCAUGAGGCCUUGGGUUUAAUUCCCCAGUACCA